UACAGAGGGGGCAAGCGUUGUUCGGAAUUACUGGGCGUAAAGGGCGCGUAGGCGGCCGCCUAAGUCAGACGUGAAAUCCCUCGGCUCAACCGGGGAACUGCGUCUGAUACUGGGUGGCUUGAAUCCGGGAGAGGGAUGCGGAAUUCCAGGUGUAGCGGUGAAAUGCGUAGAUAUCGGGAGGAACACCAGUGGCGAAGGCGGCUAUCUGGGCUGAAACUGACGCUGAGGCACGAAAGCGUGGGGAGCAAACAGG
rnacentral:rRNA from 1 species